rnacentral:rRNA from 1 species
GAUGAACGCUGGCGGCGUGCCUAACACAUGCAAGUCGAGCGAGAAGUCUUGGAACAAAUCUUCGGAAGAGUGAAGAGAUGGAAAGCGGCGGACGGGUGAGUAACGCGUAGGCAACCUGUCCCAUACAGAGGGACAGCCUUGGGAAACCGGGAUUAAUACCUCAUGAUGCAUCUACACUGCCUGGUGUGGAUGCCAAAGAUUUAUCGGUAUGGGAUGGGCCUGCGUCUGAUUAGCUGGUUGGCGGGGUAACGGCCCACCAAGGCAACGAUCAGUAGCCGACCUGAGAGGGUGAUCGGCCACAUUGGGACUGAGACACGGCCCAGACUCCUACGGGAGGCAGCAGUGGGGGAUAUUGCACAAUGGGGGAAACCCUGAUGCAGCGACGCCGCGUGAGGGAAGAAGGUUUUCGGAUUGUAAACCUCUGUCUUUGGGGAAGAGUAGAAGACGGUACCCAAGGAGGAAGCCACGGCUAACUACGUGCCAGCAGCCGCAGUA